rnacentral:rRNA from 1 species
UGAUCCUACGGGACGCAGCAGUGGGGAAUAUUGCACAAUGGGGGAAACCCUGAUGCAGCGACGCCGCGUGAGUGAAGAAGUAUUUCGGUAUGUAAAGCUCUAUCAGCAGGAACGAGACAAGACGGUACCUGACUAAGAAGCCCCGGCUAACUACGUGCCAGCAGCCGCGGUAAUACGUAGGUGGCAAGCGUUGUCCGGAUUUACUGGGUGUAAAGGGCGUGCAGCCGGGAAGACAAGUCAGAUGUGAAAUCCCGCGGCUCAACCGCGGAACUGCAUUUGAAACUGUUUUUCUUGAGUACCGGAGG